GGAUGUGAGGGGAUCUGGCUGCAACAUCUGUCACCCCAUUGAUCGCCAGGGUUGAUUCGGCUGAUCUGGCUGGCUAGGCGGGUGUCCCCCUCCUCCCUCACCGAUCCCAUGUGCGUCCCUCCCGAAGCUGCGCGCUCGGUCGAAGAGGACGACCUUCCCCCCUGAGGAGAGGACCGAUCUUCGGUCAAGGGUAUACGACUAGCUGCGCUCCCCUGCUAGAACCUCCAAACAAGCUCUCAAAAAAUGCAUUACCAACACUGGCCACAUACACAUGCUCAUUUCUGA
rnacentral:snRNA from 1 species